UCAAAAAGAAUGUUUAUUAAUAUAAAUAAAAAUUAUUGAUACACUAAUAUUUCAAAAUUUAAUGGUUAACUCAUCUAAUAUGUGUCAUGACAUAACAUCGCUUUAUAAGAUAAUAUAUACAACCAUAACAUAUAUAUCCUAUCAGUACUUAUAAGCAUAUACAUCACCCUAACAUAACCUAUAAACAUGUACUACUAAUUACAUGUAAACAAUAAUUUUCUCUAACUUCAAUUAUUUGACUUUCAUGAUAUUGUUGACAUCUCCAACUAGAAACUGCAAGGAAGAAAAAUAAUAUAGAAUUAGUUCAUUAAAUAUUACUACAGAUUAAUUAUGAUGAUAAAGAUAAUUUACAUCAGUUGGAAUUGUUCUUCCUUCCUAGUAUGUAAUAAUUUUCUUCAUAUAUUGACACACAUAAUACCCACAAUCAUUGUCGUUGGGUUGUCUUGGGAACUAAAAUUCCAAAAUUAAAAAACAUUUUUAUAAUUUGAACAUAAAAAAUAACCAAAACUCUAGUAUACUCCAAACAGAUUCAGUGCAUGAUAACAAAUAACUAUAUACAAUAUACAAGUUUAAAUUGUUAAUAAUAAGUUAUGCUUUCAUAACAACCAUAUACUCCUCCAACCAGUUUCACAAUAAUACAUGUUAUUUAACUAACCAUUAUCAUGCAACAGGGAAAUAAGUCUUCAACCAUUCAAGAAUACAAGUUAUUCAUCUAACCAGUACAAUACAAGCAACCAUAACGUGAACUAAAGGUCACAUAAGGUCAUUCAACAAUUUAAUUAUCACAAUCAAGACUAUACUACAACAUACUAGAGUAAUGUACCUUAAUUGUUGUCCACUUGAAAUUGUUUAACUUAGACUUUGAAACCAUAUUUCUUGUUUGAGCUCGAUAGAUUUGUAUAACACUAGUGAAUAAACAAAAUUAAAAACAAUACAAUUAAAAAUAUACAAAUAUGUCAACUAAAAGUACUCAAUAUAGUAUUAGCAGUAUAUAGAAACUAACACUAUUUGCAAUAACAAACUAUAGAAUAAUAUUCAUCCUACCUCAACUUUGAACACUCUGUAUGUUUAAGAAAAAUUCACAACUGCAAAUUAAAAAAAGAAUAAUAAUGUAAUUAGUAAAAAUGGAAGGACUAGUUGAAUAAAACUACAAAACAUGCAUGGAAUCUAUUAAAAAAGCACAUUCAACCAUAUUUAUCUUGCAUUUAUUGUGAACAGAAACCUAUAGUGGCAGGGUAUAUAUAUAUACACGUCAGAUUAACUUCUAAUAUGAUAUUAAAGUGUUUACAUGAUACUGGUUUUGAACUAUAUCUCUAAUUAAAUAAUUAGCUGGGAAUAGGCAAUAUUCAUAUAAUCACUAUAUGUGAUUUAAGUAAGGACAACAAUUAGAUAAUUACUCCUUAAAAAAAUAUUAAGAUUUAGGGAAUAUACAAAGUAGAGAUUAACUUAAUUCAUUAAUACUAUAUAUCUAUAUAGUCUGACUUCUAAUUAACAAUGAAGAACCUUAAUUCAUUAAUNNNNNNNNNNNNNNNNNNNNNNNNNCAAAUUAUGAACUCUUCACUUGUAUGGCUAUAAACAAUUGGGUCAGUGUUUGGCUAAAAGUAGCAUUGUUUAUGGAGAUACUUUUGGUAAGAACAUAGAAAAACUGAGUAUAAAAACAAAUAUUCUAAUUUAUAACUUUGACGUUCUGCUAUGGACAAAAAAAAUACAGGUGAAACUUUGUAAAGCGAUAUCCUGUACUUCAAAACAACAAAGAAAAAUAUGCAUUGUCAUUAAAAAUACUUGUUAUUUCACGAAGGACAAAUUUAAAAAUUCUUCAAAUAAACAUUAGCUUAAAUUUUUGUCAAUCAACUUUUCUAUCAAACCAACUUAGAUGUGUAACUAGUGUUUGUAAAACAUACGUAAAAAAUUCAAAAAUCCAUUCAAUGUAAAUUCACCAAAAAUACUUCAUUGGAACUCUUAUAAAAUGACACCUUGCAACGAAAAGAAACACUACAAAAGCAUUUAGAUUUCGGAUAAUAAAUUAGGGUAGAUUAUAGAGGAACAUAUAAAGAGAAAAUGUACUUUUGCUCAGGAGUUUCAUAUUUUGGGAACAUGUCAAAAGAUUAUAGAGGAUUCUGAUCCCACACUACAAUCUCAGAACAGAGGUUGCUUGAGAGAAAUUGCUUCUUAAUUCUUAACACAAUCCUUCAUAUUAAUACUAUUAGUGAUUGACUAUAGAAGCUAAUCAAGAAAUAAUUCUAGAGAUAGUUAGAAGCUGUUAACCAGAGUCAUAAUAAAUAACAAUCUAAAUUAACAUUCUUACAGCCCAAUCUAGUUAACGUUGCUUUAAGCUUUUGGUUGUUCAGAAGCCACACAAAACAAACAAUUCCUGAUAGAUGUAAGAUGCUAUAAACAUAAGAGGAAUAUAGAUUUUAUUAAGUGAUUGCAUUGGUCAGUACAUUCAUGCAACAGUAUAUACAUAUAGCAUAACCUAGCCUUAGCUUAUAACCCAUUUUUCUAUCAGAGACUCACCUAGUAAUCACUGAUAAACUUACUGUUACUCAAACUCAUUCCAGAAAACACAAGUAAACAAACCAAUCAUUCAUAUAUGAGUAAUAAACGUUUCUUUUCUUAUAAUUCAUUUUCAAUUUAAAAUAAAACGUUCCAAACAAUACAAUGUUCCCGAAUCUCACAUAAUUUGAAAGUCUGUCAAGUAAUUACGCAAUCAGAAUUUACUCCAUUUACACUACUUCUUGUUUUAGACCACUACUCAACAUUUCACAAAUUAACAUUACUUUGGAGACAACCAAUGGUUCCAGAGUUUAACAUUUUUUGUUUGAGAUCAACAAUACUGGACAAACAAUCACACCAUACCCUUUUACAAAAACUUCAGAAUUAUAGAAACACCCAAUUCAACUCACUAUCAAAGUCGACAAAUAUUUUGUUUAAGCCCUUUACUCAUUAUUCCUUUUUUUUAAAAAAAACAGAGCACUCAUCAUCUAUAAGUUUUCCAGAUUAUUUUCAUGCAAGUACCUCUAAAUUCCCAUUCUCUGGCCACAUUGCACCCACUCUCUCAAUACCCCUCACUGACACUCGAAAACCACUUCUAAAGCCUCAAAAGUGUUCGUCUCGCAAUUUUCGUCGUUCCCCAUUAUCUCACUCGCAUUACCUGGCCACCGCGAGCGACUUGCUCCACCAACGCAAAACCGCCUUGCUUCAUUGCAGGUUUGGGACGAAUGCGUCACGUGAAACUUGGCGAAAAUCAGAGGUAAAAUUAGGGCACAAAUUGGAAGUGAAACGGGGGAAUUGGAAGUGAAAGGGGGAAGUGAAACUAGGCGAAAACCUCAAAUUCAGGGGAAAGGGGAAAAAUGGGAAAAUUUGUUUGAGAGAAGCUCCACAAAAACUCAAAAAACUCUCGUGGACAAAAUGAGUCAGACUUAUUUUUUUUAAAAAUAUUUAAUAGAUAGGGUUUUCUUGAAAGAGGGUUAUCUAUUAUUAUAAUACUG
rnacentral:lncRNA from 1 species